rnacentral:rRNA from 1 species
UACGUAGGGUGCAAGCGUUAAUCGGAAUUACUGGGCGUAAAGCGUGCGCAGGCGGUUAUAUAAGACAGUUGUGAAAUCCCCGGGCUCAACCUGGGAACCGCAUUUGUGACUGCAUAGCUGGAGUACGGCAGAGGGGGAUGGAAUUCCGCGUGUAGCAGUGAAAUGCGUAGAUAUGCGGAGGAACACCGAUGGCGAAGGCAGUCCCCUGGGCCUGUACUGACGCUCGAUGCACGAAAGCGUGGGGAGCAAACAGG